UGAGGAAUAUUGGUCAAUGGACGAGAGUCUGAACCAGCCAAGUAGCGUGAAGGAUGACUGCCCUAUGGGUUGUAAACUUCUUUUAUACGGGAAUAAAGUGAGGUACGUGUGCCUUUUUGUAUGUACCGUAUGAAUAAGGAUCGGCUAACUCCGUGCCAGCAGCCGCGGUAAUACGGAGGAUCCGAGCGUUAUCCGGAUUUAUUGGGUUUAAAGGGAGCGUAGGCGGACGCUUAAGUCAGUUGUGAAAGUUUGCGGCUCAACCGUAAAAUUGCAGUUGAUACUGGGUGUCUUGAGUACAGUAGAGGCAGGCGGAAUUCGUGGUGUAGCGGUGAAAUGCUUAGAUAUCACGAAGAACUCCGAUUGCGAAGGCAGCUUGCUGGACUGUAACUGACGCUGAUGCUCGAAAGUGUGGGUAUCAAACAGGAUUAGAUACCCUGGUAGUCCACACAGUAAACGAUGAAUACUCGCUGUUUGCGAUAUACAGUAAGCGGCCAAGCGAAAGCGUUAAGUAUUCCACCUGGGGAGUACGCCGGCAACGGUGAAACUCAAAGGAAUUGACGGGGGCCCGCACAAGCGGAGGAACAUGUGGUUUAAUUCGAUGAUACGCGAGGAACCUUACCCGGGCUUGAAUUGCAACUGAAUGAUGUGGAGACAUGUCAGCCGCAAGGCAGUUGUGAAGGUGCUGCAUGGUUGUCGUCAGCUCGUGCCGUGAGGUGUCGGCUUAAGUGCCAUAACGAGCGCAACCCUUAUCGAUAGUUACCAUCAGGUUAUGCUGGGGACUCUGUCGAGACUGCCGUCGUAAGAUGUGAGGAAGGUGGGGAUGACGUCAAAUCAGCACGGCCCUUACGUCCGGGGCUACACACGUGUUACAAUGGGGGGUACAGAAGGCAGCUACACGGCGACGUGAUGCUAAUCCCUAAAGCCUCUCUCAGUUCGGAUUGGAGUCUGCAACCCGACUCCAUGAAGCUGGAUUCGCUAGUAAUCGCGCAUCAGCCACGGCGCGGUGAAUACGUUCCC
rnacentral:rRNA from 1 species